rnacentral:rRNA from 1 species
GAUGAACGCUGGCGGCGUGCCUAAUACAUGCCAGUCGAGCGAACAGACGAGGAGCUUGCUCCUCUGACGUUAGCGGCGGACGGGUGAGUAACACGUGGAUAACCUACCUAUAAGACUGGGAUAACUUCGGGAAACCGGAGCUAAUACCGGAUAAUAUAUUGAACCGCAUGGUUCAAUAGUGAAAGACGGUUUUGCUGUCACUUAUAGAUGGAUCCGCGCCGCAUUAGCUAGUUGGUAAGGUAACGGCUUACCAAGGCGACGAUGCGUAGCCGACCUGAGAGGGUGAUCGGCCACACUGGAACUGAGACACGGUCCAGACUCCUACGGGAGGCAGCAGUAGGGAAUCUUCCGCAAUGGGCGAAAGCUUGACGGAGCAACGCCGCGUGAGUGAUGAAGGUCUUCGGAUCGCAAAACUCUGUUAUUAGGGAAGAACAAAUGUGUAAGUAACUAUGCACGUCUUGACGGUACCUAAUCAGAAAGCCACGGCUAACUACGUG